rnacentral:rRNA from 1 species
AUUGAACGCUGGCGGCAGGCCUAACACAUGCAAGUCGAGCGGGGUUUUCGGACCUAGCGGCGGACGGGUGAGUAAUGCGUAGGAAGCUGCCCGAUAGAGGGGGAUACCAGUUGGAAACGACUGUUAAUACCGCAUAAUGUCUACGGACCAAAGUGUGGGACCUUCGGGCCACAUGCUAUCGGAUGCGCCUACGUGGGAUUAGCUAGUUGGUGAGGUAAUGGCUCACCAAGGCGACGAUCUCUAGCUGGUUUGAGAGGAUGAUCAGCCACACGGGAACGGAGACAAGGACCAGACUCCUAGGGGAGGCAGCAGGGGGGAAGAUUGGACAAUGGGCGCAAGCCUGAUCCGGCCAUGCCGCGUGUGUGAAGAAGGCCUUCGGGUUGUAAAGCACUUUCAGCGAGGAGGAAGGGUGGUGUGUUAAUAGCACAUCAUUUUGACGUUACUCGCAGAAGAAGCACCGGCUAACUCCGUGCCAGCCGCCGCCGUAACAC